rnacentral:rRNA from 1 species
AGCGCAGGCGGGACAGCAAGUUGGAUGUGAAAUACCGAGGCUUAACCUCGGAGCUGCAUCCAAAACUGUUGUUCUUGAGUGAAGUAGAGGUUGGCGGAAUUCCGAGUGUAGCGGUGAAAUGCGUAGAUAUUCGGAGGAACACCAGUGGCGAAGGCGGCCAACUGGGCUUUAACUGACGCUGAGGCUCGAAAGCAUGGGGAGCAAACAG